CCUACGGGAGGCAGCAGUGAGGAAUAUUGGUCAAUGGACGAGAGUCUGAACCAGCCAAGUCGCGUGAGGGAUGACGGUCCUAUGGAUUGUAAACCUCUUUUGUCGGGGAGCAAAAGACGCCACGCGUGGCGUUCCGAGAGUACCCGAAGAAAAAGCAUCGGCUAACUCCGUGCCAGCAGCCGCGGUAAUAAGGAGGAUGCGAGCGUUAUCCGGAUUUAUUGGGUUUAAAGGGUUCGCAGGCGGAAGAUCAAGUCAGCGGUAAAAUUGAGGGGCUCAACCUCUUCGAGCCGUUGAAACUGGUUGUCUUGAGUGAGUGAGAAGUAUGCGGAAUGCGUGGUGUAGCGGUGAAAUGCAUAGAUAUCACGCAGAACUCCGAUUGCGAAGGCAGCAUACCGGCGCUCAACUGACGCUCAUGCACGAAAGUGUGGGGAUCGAACAGGAUUAGAUACCCCGGUAGUC
rnacentral:rRNA from 1 species